rfam:Crenobacter luteus strain CN10 contig_10, whole genome shotgun sequence.
GUUCACUGCCAGACAGGCAGUUCAGAAA